ACUCCUACGGGAGGCAGCAGUGAGGAAUAUUGGACAAUGGGCGCAAGCCUGAUCCAGCCAUGCCGCGUGCAGGAUGACGGUCCUAUGGAUUGUAAACUGCUUUUAUACGAGAAGAAACACUACUUCGUGAAGUAGCUUGACGGUAUCGUAAGAAUAAGGAUCGGCUAACUCCGUGCCAGCAGCCGCGGUAAUACGGAGGAUCCAAGCGUUAUCCGGAAUCAUUGGGUUUAAAGGGUCCGUAGGCGGUUUAAUAAGUCAGUGGUGAAAGCCCAUCGCUCAACGGUGGAACGGCCAUUGAUACUGUUAGACUUGAAUUAUUAGGAAGUAACUAGAAUAUGUAGUGUAGCGGUGAAAUGCUUAGAGAUUACAUGGAAUACCAAUUGCGAAGGCAGGUUACUACUAAUUGAUUGACGCUGAUGGACGAAAGCGUGGGUAGCGAACAGGAUUAGAUACCCUGGUAGUC
rnacentral:rRNA from 1 species